rnacentral:rRNA from 1 species
AUUGAACGCUGGCGGCAGGCCUAACACAUGCAAGUCGAACGAGUGGCGGACGGGUGAGUAAUGUCUGGGAAACUGCCUGAUGGAGGGGGAUAACUACUGGAAACGGUAGCUAAUACCGCAUACCAUCGGAUGUGCCCAGAUGGGAUUAGCUAGUAGGUGGGGUAACGGCUCACCUAGGCGCCGAUCCCUAGCUGGUCUGAGAGGAUGACCAGCCACACUGGAACUGCGACACGGUCCAGACUCCUACGGAAGGCAGCAGUGGGGAAUAUUGCGCAAGGGGCGCAAGCCGGAUGCAGCCAUGCCGCGUGUAUGAAGAAGGCUUUCGGGUUGUAGAGUACGUUCAGCAGGGAGGCGUUACCCGCAGAAGAAGCACCGGCUAACUCCGUGCCAGCAGCCGCGGUAAUUC